GUCCAGCUGCUGAGUCCCAAAUAGGACGAAACGCGCAUCCUGGAU
rnacentral:hammerhead_ribozyme from 1 species